rnacentral:rRNA from 1 species
CUCCUACGGGAGGCAGCAGUGGGGAAUCUUGCGCAAUGGGCGAAAGCCUGACGCAGCGACGCCGCGUGAGGGAUGAAGGCUCUCGGGUUGUAAACCUCUUUCAGCGGGGACGAAGCGAAAGUGACGGUACCCGCAGAAGAAGCCCCGGCCAACUACGUGCCAGCAGCCGCGGUAAUACGUAGGGGGCGAGCGUUGUCCGGAUUUAUUGGGCGUAAAGGGCUCGUAGGUGGCUUGGCAAGUCGGACGUAAAAGUCCAGGGCUCAACCCUGGGACUGCGUUCGAUACUGUCAGGCUAGAGGCCGGUAGGGGGAUCUGGAAUUCCUGGUGUAGCGGUGAAAUGCGCAGAUAUCAGGAGGAACACCGGUGGCGAAGGCGGGAUCCUGGGCCGGACCUGACACUGAUGAGCGAAAGCUGGGGGAGCGAACAGGAUUAGAUACCCUGGUAGUCCCAGCCGUAAACGAUGGGUGCUAGGUGUGGGAGGCUAUCGACGUCUUCCGUGCCGCAGCUAACGCAUUAAGCACCCCGCCUGGGGAGUACGGCCGCAAGGCUAAAACUCAAAGGAAUUGACGGGGGCCCGCACAAGCGGCGGAGCAUGUGGCUUAAUUCGAUGCAACGCGAAGAACCUUACCAGGGCUUGACAU